rnacentral:tRNA from 1 species
GUCGGCUGAUUGCGGCAUCGUACUGAUCGAUUCACUCGUAAUGAAUAGGUCGUCGGUUCGAUUCCGACAGGCGGCUCCA